rnacentral:rRNA from 1 species
UACGUAGGGUGCAAGCGUUGUCCGGAAUUAUUGGGCGUAAAGAGCUCGUAGGCGGUUUGUCGCGUCGGCUGUGAAAACCUGGGGCUCAACCCCGGGCCUGCAGCCGAUACGGGCAAACUAGAAUUCGGUAGGGGAGACUGGAAUUCCUGGUGUAGCGGUGAAAUGCGCAGAUAUCAGGAGGAACACCGGUGGUGUAGACGGCUAUCUGGACCGUAACUGACGCUGAGGCACGAAAGCGUGGGUAGCAAACAGG